rnacentral:misc_RNA from 1 species
AAUUCUCAACCUCACCAAUUUUGUCAUGAAGUUGUGUGUAGGCUUGGAGGUGGAGGGUUUUUGCAGGUCCACAACAGUGGUCUGCUCCUCUGAAAUGUAUUAGUGGGUUAGGCCCCUAAUCUAUUGGUGUGAUAACUAUCUACUCCAUGGAUUGGGUUGGCUUAUCAUAAGACCUGCUUCAAACCGUCCUUCUCUGGACAACUCUUGACAU